rnacentral:rRNA from 1 species
UACGAAGGGGGCUAGCGUUGCUCGGAAUCACUGGGCGUAAAGGGCGCGUAGGCGGUUAUUCAAGUCAGAGGUGAAAGCCCAGUGCUCAACACUGGAACUGCCUUUGAAACUAGAUAGCUUGAAUCCAGGAGAGGUGAGUGGAAUUCCGAGUGUAGAGGUGAAAUUCGUAGAUAUUCGGAAGAACACCAGUGGCGAAGGCGGCUCACUGGUCCAUUACUGACGCUGAGGUGCGAAAGCGUGGGGAGCAAACAGG